rnacentral:lncRNA from 1 species
AUCAAUAUAAUACCAAAAGCAGAGUAAUACGGUACAGACAACAAGACAUUCUCCCAUAGUAAUGUAAAUUAUUGGAAAAGGGCCCGGUAUUAAAGGUAAGAUAAAUGGGUACGAUAAAUUCAUGAGAAUUGUCACAAUUGCAACACAGCCGAUUUUCUUUAGCCUGUAUUUCUUGACUUUAUCAGUCUUUGGCGUGGUGUCCAUCUUCCUCCAUAUCCACAGCAGAGUCAUGUUGUUAAGGUACAUACCGACGAUGAAGAUUAUCAUAUUGAUGUUGCAUCUGAAUCGCCAUAUUGCUGAGAAUGUUUCAUACGUCAGGUAUGCAAGGGAGAUUGUUACGAGUACGUCGGAUAUGUCGUAGCGUCUACUGUUCGGUGAGUCGGAGAUGAUCGGUGCUGUCUUUGGUAGAAGUGGAUAUUCCAUGAAAGGUCUGUAUUUUAGCAUAUAGCGUCAAUGUUUUUUUGUUAAAAAAAUCUGUGAAAGUAUUAUAUAUAUAUAAAUAAACACACCUUGAGGCCUGCGGAAUUGAGGAUUGAUUCAAUGAAAUCUAAAUACUAAUUAAUAUUGAUUGAUAUAUUCAACCAUUGGUUUGAGUAAUUGAGUGGUUUCUCUUAAAAGUCAAAAAUGAAUUGUAAUUUGUAAGGUAUAAAAUAGUCAUCAUUAAUUGAUUUUUUUUUUUUUUUUUUUGUUGUUGCAAAUAUCAUUAAUUGGAUUAGGUCUUUUAACAUAGUAUUAUUUAGCCCAUUGGGUCUUUCUAUCUACUAGAAAGAGCCGCAAAGCCUUUUAGAUUUUUGAACAGCUGGCUAAGAAAGCCGUCCGUCCGUCAACACCUUAUUUCAAACAACCUGGAAUACUCAGGUUGCCGCCACGCCGGAUCGCCGCUAUGCAGACAGACUACAACAAAAGAUGAUAAAACUGUUACGGACUGUUAUGAUAGAAUGGGCUAUAAACCAAGGUAAUCAAUCCUAGAGAUGGGCAAAUAAAGGUGCAUGGUCUUAUGGGAGUCGAUCUAGCAGUGAAGAAAGGUCCAUGGUCUUAUGGGAGUCGAUGAGGCUGCGGAUAGUUAAGUGAACUGUAAUGUAUUCUCAAAUUCUAAAUUAUGUACUAAAUACCUUUUUCAUUUAAAUUAAGCACCAAAUAACAAUCUCAAAUAAGAUGAGGAUCGUAACCUAGCGUGAAUUUGAAAUCGCCCAAUUCCAGAUAUGAACUCAACGGAAACCUUCCUUCUAACGGUCAGCGAGUCUCUCGAGGAUGAAAAAAAGAAUGGAAAAG